rnacentral:rRNA from 1 species
UACGUAGGUGGCAAGCGUUGUCCGGAUUUACUGGGCGUAAAGAGCGCGCAGGCGGUCGUUCAAGUCGCGUGUGAAAGCCCCCGGCUCAACUGGGGAGGGUCACGCGAUACUGAUCGACUGGAAGGCAGGAGAGGGUAGUGGAAUUCCCGGUGUAGUGGUGAAAUGCGUAGAUAUCGGGAGGAACACCAGUGGCGAAGGCGACUACCUGGCCUGUUCUUGACGCUGAGGCGCGAAAAGCUAGGGGAGCAAACGGGG